GGAGAAUGGAGGUGUUAUAAUUUUAAGAAGUUGUUGAAGUCAGGAGCCCGCCUGGAGAAUGGAGGUGUUAUAUCUUUAAGAAAUAGUUGAAGUCAGGAGCCCGCCUGGUGAAUGGAGGUGUUAUACUUUUAAGAAGUUGUUGAAGUCAGGAGCCCGCCUGGUGAAUGGAGGUGUUAUAUUUUUAAGAAGUAGUUGAAGUCAGGAGCCCGCCUGGAGAAUGGAGGUGUUAUAUAUUUAAGAAAUAGUUGAAGUCAGGAGCCCGCCUGGAGAAUGGAGGUGUUCUAUUUUUAGAAGUAGUUGAAGUCAGGAGCCCGCCUGGAGAAUGGCGGUGUUAUAUUUUUAAGAAGUAGCUGAAGUCAGGAGCCCGCCUGGAGAAUGGAGGUGUUAUAUUUUUAAGAAGUAGUUGAAGUCAGGAGCCCGCCUGGAGAAUGGAGGGGU
rnacentral:lncRNA from 1 species